rfam:Sphingomonadales bacterium GWF1_63_6 gwf1_scaffold_4231, whole genome shotgun sequence.
AGACUGUGCCUUUCAGGCAUCCUCUCCUAAACUUUUCAGGCUGGUCUCACGAUCAGCCUUUUUUUUGUCUUCG